UGGGGAAUUUUGGACAAUGGACGCAAGUCUGAUCCAGCCAUUCCGCGUGCAGGAUGAAGGCCCUCGGGUUGUAAACUGCUUUUGUACGGAACGAAAAAGUUUGUCUUAAUACGAUGAGCUCAUGACGGUACCGUAAGAAUAAGCACCGGCUAACUACGUGCCAGCAGCCGCGGUAAUACGUAGGGUGCAAGCGUUAAUCGGAAUUACUGGGCGUAAAGCGUGCGCAGGCGGUUAUGUAAGACAGAGGUGAAAUCCCCGGGCUCAACCUGGGAACUGCCUUUGUGACUGCAUAGCUAGAGUACGGUAGAGGGGGAUGGAAUUCCGCGUGUAGCAGUGAAAUGCGUAGAUAUGCGGAGGAACACCGAUGGCGAAGGCAAUCCCCUGGACCUGUACUGACGCUCAUGCACGAAAGCGUGGGGAGCAAACAGGAUUAGAUACCCUCUGGCCAAGGCACACAGGGGAUA
rnacentral:rRNA from 1 species